rnacentral:lncRNA from 1 species
AAACAAAUGUUUAUUGAAAUAACAAACUUACCAUCAAGUAUUUAACAAGGCAUAAAACAUUAGACAUUCAUUAAUUACAUCAUGUAUGCUACAUAAAACCUAUUUGUAUAGCUCAAUAACUUUUGAACUCCGAUGUUAUCUAGAUACUACAGAUACAGUUAAGUCGGCUUUAUAUCUUGACUUACAUCUAGAAAUUGACAAUGAGGGUCGGUUGAAAACAAAACUUUACGACAAAAGAGAUGAUUUCAGCUUUCCAAUUGUGAACUUUCCAUUUCUUUUGAUGUUAUCUAAUUAUUUGUAAAUAAAGACAUUAGGUUUAUGUUUAUUCAGUGGUCAACACAAACUGCAAGAGAGAGUCGUUAUCAUAUAGCAAAAAAUCAUGAUUGCUUACCGAAUAUCUGAAGGCAGUACAAACAGACGUAUUGUUUACAUUUUUCAUGAUUUUUGUAUUAGUCAACGCUAGUAAACCAAUGUAUUGUGCAUACUGUUCAGAAUAUAUAAGACAACUACAAUCUGUGUCAUGUGACCGUGACGUAAACAACGUUUCAUCCUGAUUUACUCGGGUUUAUAAUUGAAUUAAAAAUUAAAUCAUAAGAAAUGACUGUAAUAUUUUUUCUGCCUUUUUCGAAAUAAUAUAAAAAAUGUGGUGCACACUGUAAAAUAACCCGCUAAUGCGUUACAUUCAUUCCUUAAACAUGUUAAAGAAUCAAACAAAACUAUUGAAACUCUUUCAUAUGUUUUUUUUUUCUUUCUGUCAGGACUGACGCGUGUUGUCUACAUUUAUGAACACAAAUCUCUUGUAACAUUUGUAACUACAUCCUCUUAUUUGAUAUCUAAAUUUCCAAGACUUUGAAAUGCAAGAAACACAAAUUAAGAUUUAAAGGAUGCAAUUAUCAG